GUUACCGAAUCUUUGGCGGGCUUUUUUUCGUGCCUGAUUGCUUGGCGCCAAGUCGGGAAAAAGUCCGGCUAGCACUGAAGCAGUUAGCGCCAAAGUACUGAAAAUUCCAUGUAAAACAGCCCCGCUCCGAUUCACCCGUGACUACGUGUUCGUAUUUCGUAAGCAUUUAUACUGCCGUCGCCGUCCUCUUCCUCACAUCUCCCCAUCACCGGCCUCUUCCAAGCCGCUCCCCACCACAAACUUUCUCUCCUCCUCCUCUUGAUCCCCACACACCUCGAGUGCGCCUGAAAUAUAGAGAUCAAAGGUGGCAAAUUUCUGCGCCGGCGACGAGCUUCUGGGCGACGGAGGCGCUGGAUCGGCGAGCACCGGCGCUGGAUCGGCGAGAACCGGCGCUGGAUCUGCGUCCCCCGCCCGGAAAACGGCACAUCGUGCCCCGUCACGCUCAUCCCGGGCGACGACAUCGGACCCCUCAUCCCCGGAGCCGUGCAGCAGGUCAUGGAGCUCGCGCCUCUACUUCAAGACCUGGUCACGGGAGACGUGCAUCAGGUCAUGGAGCUCCACCUCUGGUCUGCCUCAAGGGUGAGGAGGAACAGCGAGAUCCGCAUGGUGCAAGUGCGCCAGAUGCGCCGCGAGGUCGCGCAGCUGCUCGACGGCAACCAGAACAAGACGACGCGAAUCAGGUAACUCACGACGGCUCCUACAGCACCGGAGUAGCGGGAGGACGCCGCUUGCGCAUGGGAGCACCGGGACGCCAUCAACUUCAAGUUCUUAUCAGAGCAGCACGAUGACCACCACCACUACCGCGACCAGGUUUCUGUUAUUUGCUGAUGGAAAAUUGUUCCCUUAUGUCUUGGCCUAGUUCUGGUUAUAGGGAAUGAAAUUGUUAAUGUAAUCAAAACUCUCCAUUCCAUAUAUGCGCCUAGUACUGCUUCAAUUAUUUGAAUGACAGCUCCAAGCGAGCCAUGUGUGUUCUUUAACUUAUAUCCAACCUGCUAGUGGUGUAUCUGUUAAUAUUUCUCACAUAUGAAGUGGAAAUUUUAGUACUUAUGUGAAAGAUUAAUUCGCUCUCACAUCUGAACUAGAAAUUUCUUUUACGUUUGUCUGUCCUGACUUGACUGCACUGAACUGAACUUGAAAAUCUGCUGCUAUUUGCUCUGUCAAAAUCUGCUGGCUAUUUGCUGCUAUUUGCAGGUGCUUCAGGGGGAUCAGGGCCAGGUGUUGCUGGGGGUGGAAGUGGAGUAGUUGGGCGGAGGAGAAGCAGCCGGAGGUGGAGUAGAUGCCGAGAUCGGGAGCAUCCGGGCGAGCAGUUGAACAUCGAGGCAGAGCCGGCUCUUGGAUGAGCAGCUGCUGGUCGCUGGGCGAAGGGGAAGUAGAUCCCACGUGAUCUGGCGGAGGAUAGGGAUGAUUGUGCAGUGUGUGCAAGAGUACAUCUUGUGACUGCUAACUUGAUGGACACGGGGUUCGUCAGACAUCGAUCUGUUGUACUCUUCAGGUUGACCGGCUGCAACGAAAAAAAAAAUCGCAGUAGCUGGAUGGGACAGAUACCGCGCAUAUGGACAAAAUAAGUGUUAUACUGUUUAUCUUCUCCAACGUUCUUGCGCACCAAAGGUUUUGCGCUGCUCAUGUAGCUCACAUGUCCGUCUAGGUUGUAAAAUGGUAGUAUAUGUUAUGUUCUGGGUGAAAUCAUGCAUGAAUCCAACCGAUUUUAUGCA